rnacentral:rRNA from 1 species
GACGAACGCUGGCGGCAUGCCUAAUACAUGCAAGUCGAACGAGCUUCCGUUGAAUGACGUGCUUGCACUGAUUUCAACAAUGAAGCGAGUGGCGAACUGGUGAGUAACACGUGGGGAAAUCUGCCCAGAAGCAGGGGGAUAACACUUGGAAACAGGUGCUAAUACCGUAUAACAACAAAAUCCGACAUGGAUUUUGUUUGAAAGGUGGCUUCGGCUAUC